rnacentral:lncRNA from 1 species
UGUCAUACGUGUUAAACUAGACUUGAUUUAUGAAAUUUGGGUCUUGUGAUUGUUACCUGGCAUUGUUAUGGUUUCAUUUUGUGGACUAUUUUUCAACACUGUCCUCCUUUUUUGUUUUUCUCUUAUCUUAUUUACUUAGGUGUUUUACUUUAUUCCUUCAUUUUUUUUGUUUUUUGUUUAGUAGUAUGGUGUUUUUGAUGUUUGGUUGGGGAAAGGAUAAAGCUUUGGGGAAAUGAGGCGGUGGGGAGGGUGAGCAGUAAGGAAAGAAUAGGAAAAGAGAGAUGAUGGUCAAGCCUGCAAACAUGGCCUGAACAAAACUGACUACAAUCACAAGAACUGCAGUCAUAGAACUCAUUUUUAGCUAGAGAGGGUGGAGGGUAUUGUGAGAAAACUAAUGAGGCUAGCUACUUGGACUGUAUAUCUGUUGCCAUAUUAAUUAUAUCUAGCUAUGUGCAAGCAAACUAAUUGUUCCUAAUUUUUUUUCUUCCUUUUGUUCUCUUCUCUUGUAUGUUCAGUUUUCUUUCUUUUUGUGUUUGUGUUAUGUUGAGCGAAUCGCAUGUAGUAGAAGUUGAAGUACUGGAAUGGACAUUUGGUGAUGAUUGUGGUUUCUCUAUUGGAAUUUGGAAAUGUGAGAAUAAAUUUUUUCUGUGGAAUAUUGAUGCAUGUAAUUAGUGCUAAUGAUCAGUGCAAACAUAAGAAUUAGCUUUAUGCAAGAAGAAUCAGCUAAUUUUUUAAGGAAUGUGAACAAAAAUGCAAAAGGACCUAUCUAAUUUUUGUUCUUGCUCAUAAAAUAUAUAUCAUAUGUACCGAGCUAUAUGGAUUUUAGUUCACAUGCUUGAUGCAUCUCUUCACGGACUCAGCACGGACUCAGCAGGAUUGCCCUAGUUUACAUGUCAAAGUUUUACCACUUUGGUUAUGGUGAAUGUUUGUGUUUGUGUGUGUGUUUUUGCAGUUAUGGCAGUUCUUUCCAUCAAGGAAACUGACAUAACUUCUAUUUUAUUUUCAAACAAGGAUCAUAUCUUAACUUGCGCAUGAUUUGAAUUCAAAUUCAAAUCAAAUUGAAUAACUAAGUAUUGCAGUAUUUCUAAUUCACCAUAACACACUUAGAUAUGUUAUUGAUCCUAUAAUUUAAACUCCAAUAAUCUUAUUUCAUCUAUUUAGCUCACUGCAUAAUGGAUAUGCAUAUUAGCUACAUAUAUCUAGUUCUAAUAAUCUUAUUUCAUUAUGUCAAUUUACAAGGUGAUGACAUAUUGAUUGUGUUAUAUGGUGAAUCUACUAUUUUUAUGAUUGUUUAUCUCAAAUUAGUCUGAUGAGUUGUGUUUGUGUUAUAGCCGUAUUUUAAAAUUGAUUUUGGGGAUAAACGGAUGUGGGCGUGGCUUGAAGAUAAGGCGGGUACCAUAUAUCGAGAUUGGAAGGGGGACUUCUCAAGGCACUAUAAGAAGUAUGGGAGAGAAAGAAUUCCGCCUGAUUUGAUACACAGGCAGGAUGAGUGGGACUGGCUUUGCUGGCACUUUGAGUCGCCUGAUUUCAAGGUAAAAGAAUUAUUUUGCUGCCACUUUGGUUUGAAUGUUUGGCUUUGCUGGCACAUUAUAUUUAUAACUACUAUGUGAUUGGCAGACACGAUCGGCGGCUAACAAGACCAACCUUGGUAAGAAGGAGUCGGAGCACCACACGGGGCGGCUACCUAUCAUCUAUAGGGUGGUCCACCACAAAGAGAAUGGUGAGGAAUUUCCUGUUAUCCCAGCUUACACGGAGACGUAUGACACAGUCAACGACCCUAAAGCUGCCAAGAAUCUUGUAAGUUAAUGAAUCUAGUGCAAAUAGCUUACAUAAAUUGUGCAAAUAAUUUUCAGUUGGUGCAAUUAAAUAAUUUUCAGUUGGUGUAGAUGCAUUUGUGUUUUGUCUUAGUGAAUGUGAAUUUGUUAUGCUAAGUUUCAUAUCUCUGUAGGAAUGUGAAUGUGAAUGCGAAUGCAUUUGUCUUGUGUCUUAGUGAAUGUGAAUUUGUUAUUGUUGAGUAUAUUAGAUCAAGUCUUGAUAUCAGUUUGUUUAUAUUGAAUUUGGUUUUUUGUGCUUAGGAUUGAACUCAAUCUAUCCUAAUUCUGCAGAAAACAUGAACAUAUACAAAACACAUAUAUCACUAUCAAUCACCUGCAAUAUCAGUUUCUCAUUGCUUGUCUCAAGUUCAAUAUCACCUGCAAUAUCAGUUUCUCAUUGCUUGUCUCUAAGUUCAAUAUCACCUGCAAUAUCAGUUUCUGCAGAUCAAGUCAUGAUAUCAGUUUCUCAUUACUUGUCUCUAAGUUCAAUUCUUCAUUUAGUAGAUUUACAUGCCUGCAAUAUGUAGCAGAUUCAUAACAGUUCCAUCAUUUUCCAACUUAUUUUCCUUCACUGGUUACCAAACCCUGAACUGCUUUUCAACAGCAAUAUGAAUUUAAAUUCCAAAUCUAAUUACAAGCUUAUCUCUUAUGUAAAUAAUAUUUACACACUUUUUUUAAAUGCAGGAGGAAAUGCAGAAAGAGGCCACUGAAUUGAAAAAUGCACAGAAGAAUGUAAACCCUGACAUCCCGGAGGCUGAGCUCCCACCUUUGGAGUGGUCAGUGAAUCUUAAGGUGCUUGAAGCAGGAGUCGGCAGAAGAGCCNNN